rnacentral:rRNA from 1 species
UACAGAGGGUGCAAACGUUGUUCGGAAUUACUGGGCGUAAAGCGCGUGUAGGCGGCUACGUAAGUCGGACGUGAAAUCCCACGGCUCAACCGUGGAAGAGCGCUCGAUACUGUGUAGCUUGAGUCCUGGAGAGGAAAGCGGAAUACUUGGUGUAGAGGUGAAAUUCGUAGAUAUCAGGUAGAACACCAGUGGCGAAGGCGGCUUUCUGGACAGUGACUGACGCUGAGACGCGAAAGCGUGGGGAGCAAACAGG